rnacentral:rRNA from 1 species
AAGCAUGUGAGUGGGCUUUUCUGCCACCGAAUACAUUAGCAUGGGAUAAUGGAAUAGGACCCUGUCCUCCUAUUUUCAGUUGGUUUUGGCAGCGCGAGGACUAGGGUAAUGAUUAAUAGGGAUAGUUGGGGGCAUUAAUAUUUAAUUGUCAGAGGUGAAAUUCUUGGAUUUAUGAAAGAUUAACUUCUGCGAAAGCAUCUGCCAAGGAUGUUUUCAUUAAUCAAGAACGAAAGUUAGGGGAUCGAAGACGAUCAGAUACCGUCGUAGUCUUAACCAUAAACGAUGCCGACCAGCGAUUAGGAGACGUUGAAUACAAAACACCACCAUCGGCGCGGUCGUCCUUGGCGUCUCGGUUUCGGCCGGGGCGCGGGGAUGGCUUAGCCCGGUGGCACCGGUGAAUGACUCCCCUAGCAGCUUGUGAGA